rnacentral:rRNA from 1 species
AGGUACAUUCCUCCAACAAAGCGUUAAUCCACCAAAUCCCAUUAGAACUUUGCAGCUAAGCGCACUUGGGAUAGAGUAUUACUGGGAUGGGUGACCACCUGAGAAGUCCUGUUGUUUUACUUU